CCCUGCCAUUUGUACACACCGCCCGUCGCUCCUACCGAUUGAAUGUUCCGGUGAACACUUUGGAAUCAUGGCAGUGGUUCUGGGGAUUCUCAGACCCUGUCAUUGGUGAAGUUGUGUAAGCCUUAACAUUUAGAGGAAGGAAAAGUCGUAACA
rnacentral:rRNA from 1 species